CACCGCGGUUAUACGAGAGGCCCAAGUUGACAAAUGCCGGCGUAAAAUGUGGUUAACAUGUUUACACACUAAAGCUAAACAUCUUCAAAGCUGUUAUACUCUUACGAAGACAGGAAGCACUUCUACGAAAGUGGCUUUAAAUAAUGCUACCCACGAAAGCUAGGAAA
rnacentral:rRNA from 1 species